AGGGUCUCGACAAUGGAGAGGAUUUUCCGUCGGAUCUUUGGAUGGCCUAACGUCAUUCGUUUUGCAUGAAAAAUUGAGGAGGUGUUCUACUCGAUGAGAGGAACGAUUCUAUAAUGGCCGAUCUUGUUUUUAAUGGUCUGAUUCGUAGAUAUGUGCUUUCAUAAUAAGGUGGCCCAGCAGGUUUGAGACUGGAUUUUACCUAAUACAUGGCUCAUGGGCCGGGGAAGCAUCAUGUAUCCGGAGCUUAUAUCUUCCACAUGAGGUGGGGAUUGGAGAGACAGAGAAAACUUUGAUAUUGCAAAAAGUUGAGUGUGCAUGCCAUUUUGGUCUCGAUUGAAAUUUGGCCCAAGGCGUUCCAUCAGAGCCACAGAACACCAAAAUGAUUCCGCCUCAUCGUUCACUACAAACAAUAUUGGGUACCGAAGAUCGCUCAUACCCUAUAAGACACAUAGAGGUUCUUAAUAAGCAAGCUCCAACUGUUGAUACGGUAGAUUGUAGAUCCAUAUAUAGGAGUUAAACCCUAUGGAUAGGGAUCUAUAUCAUGUAAAUAUAUAGCCUCCUCUCCAGCCGCCUUAGAUGUUUAUGGUAUUACGUACACUUUAGAAUAGGUUCAGUAGAUCUUUGAUUAAUAAAAUUCUCACAGUACCAUGUAGAUAUUUGGUGAUCGAUUCUGUAUGUUAUCAUCAUAUCCCAUGUAACGUGUUUUAUUUAGAAGCUUUUAAGUCACUGUUGCA